AUUGAACGCUGGCGGCAGGCCUAACACAUGCAAGUCGAGCGCGCGGCGGACGGGUGAGUAAUGUCUGGGAAACUGCCUGAUGGAGGGGGAUAACUACUGGAAACGGUAGCUAAUACCGCAUACCAUCAACUGUUCCCAGAUGGGAUUAGCUAGUAGGUGGGGUAAUGGCUCACCUAGGCGACGAUCCCUAGCUGGUCUGAGAGGAUGACCAGCCACACUGGAAAUGAGACACGGUCCAGACGCCUACGGGAGGCAGCAGUGGGGAAGAUUGCACAAUGGGCGCAAGCCUGAGACAGCCAUGCCGCGUGUGUGAAGAAGGCCUUCGGGUUGUAAAGCACUGUCAGCGAGGAGGCGUUACUCGCAGAAGAAGCACCGGCUAACUCCGUGCCAGCAGCCGCGGUAAUAC
rnacentral:rRNA from 1 species